AUACGUAGGGGGCGAGCGUUGUCCGGAAUGAUUGGGCGUAAAGGGCGCGUAGGCGGCCCGGUAAGUCUGGAGUGAAAGUCCUGUUUUUAAGAUGGGAAUUGCUUUGGAUACUGUCGGGCUUGAGUGCAGGAGAGGUAAGUGGAAUUCCCAGUGUAGCGGUGAAAUGCGUAGAGAUUGGGAGGAACACCAGUGGCGAAGGCGACUUACUGGACUGUAACUGACGCUGAGGCGCGAAAGUGUGGGGAGCAAACAGGAUUAGAUGCCCUGGUAGUCCACACUGUAAACGAUGAAUGCUAGGUGUAGGGGUUAUCGACCCCUUCUGUGCCGCAGUCAACACAAUAAGCAUUCCGCCUGGGGAAUACGGCCGCAAGGUUGAAACUCAAAUGAAUUGUCGGGG
rnacentral:rRNA from 1 species